rnacentral:rRNA from 1 species
UGGGGGGAGCAAGCGUUGUUCGGAUUUACUGGGCGUAAAGGGCGCGUAGGCGGCCACCGCAAGUCGACUGUGAAAUCUCUGGGCUUAACCCAGAAAGGUCAGCCGAUACUGCGGGGCUAGAGUGCAGAAGGGGCAACUGGAAUUCUCGGUGUAGCGGUGAAAUGCGUAGAUAUCGAGAGGAACACCUGCGGCGAAGGCGGGUUGCUGGGCUGACACUGACGCUGAAGCGCGAAAGCUAGGGGAGCGAACGGGAUUAGAUACCCCGGUAGUCCUAGCCUUAAACGAUGAAUGCUUGGUGUCUGGGGUUUUAUAGUCCCCGGGUGCCGUCGCUAACGCUUUAAGCAUUCCGCCUGGGGAGUACGGUCGCAAGACUG